rnacentral:tmRNA from 1 species
UCCCUUCACAUUUAUUAAUAAUUCCAGUAUAAUAAACUUGUCUAGUAAGACUAUGACAAUAAACGUUGUUUGAAAUAAAUAUUUCGGACCCGGGGGCGGUACCCGGCAUCUCCACCAAAUAUAACUAUUUUCAAGAUUCUUACUUAUGGGGAUGAAAUAGCUUCGACGGGUAUAAUAAAGAAACAAUUUUUGUCCGGUCUGAUCACGCCGUAAAAUGAUCUAAAUAGAAAUGCCAAUGAUAACAAGGCAUCUGUAAAUUAUGCAAACGUAGCAAACGAUAAUUUUGCUUUUGCUGCAGCAGCAUAACUUAACGCGGUUUGGGGGCUACCGGGCAACAGAAAUGCCCCUUA